CUCCUUUAUCACGAAAUGUGUUCGGUAAUUUCCUGUUGCAUAAAUAAAUGAAUUCAUGUAUUCAGCUAUGCUUCUGAUAUUUUUAAAUACCGACUGCCUGCUAGGCAGAGUAAUGGACCCAGGUAUACAUGGUGAAUGAAUGAUGUUACUCCUUGUAUUGAAGAUUGAUGACGAUGAUAAAUGAAAUCAUAACUUUACUUUUGAAUAUUUAUGUAACAUACCAUGUACUUUUACAUACCAAUUAUAUUUAUACUUAUAAUAACUUGAGUGAAAUAUUUAUUUUCACAAUUUUACAAUAAAAAAUAAUUGAGGCUAAGAGAAGUCAAUGACUUGGUAAUUAUGGCUGCUAUGUUGAGAGGUCAAAUUUCACACAU
rnacentral:lncRNA from 1 species